UACGAAGGGGGCUAGCGUUGUUCGGAAUUACUGGGCGUAAAGCGCAUGUAGGCGGAUAUUUAAGUCAGGGGUGAAAUCCCGCAGCUCAACUGCGGAACUGCCUUUGAUACUGGUUGGCUAGAGUAUGGAAGAGGUGAGUGGAAUUCCGAGUGUAGAGGUGAAAUUCGUAGAUAUUCGGAGGAACACCAGUGGCGAAGGCGGCUCACUGGUCCAUUACUGACGCUGAGGUGCGAAAGCGUGGGGAGCAAACAGG
rnacentral:rRNA from 1 species